UUUAUAUUUAUUGUUGCGCUGCUACCAUGCUGUCGACGGCAGCACGUCUGAGCUUGCUCUUACGGGUGGCGAGUGGUGGACGGGUGAGGAAUACGUCGGAAUCUACUUUUUCGUGGGGGAUAACGUAGGGAAACUUACGCUAAUACCGCAUACGACCUACGGGGGAAAUCAGGGGAUCUUCGGACCUUGCGCGAUUGAAUGAGCCGAUGUCGGAUUAGCUAUUUGGCGGGGUAAAGGCCCACCAAGGCGACGAUCCGUAGCUGGUCUGAGAGGAUGAUCAGCCACACUGGAACUGAGACACGGUCCAGACUCCUACGGGAGGCAAUUUUGGGGAAUAUUGGACAAUGGGCGCAAGCCUGAUCCAGCCAUACCGCGUGGGUGAAGAAGGCCUUCGGGUUGUAAAGCCCUUUUGUUGGGAAAGAAAUCCAGCCGGCUAAUACCUGGCUGGGAUGACGGUACCCAAAGAAUAAGCACCGGCUAACUUCGUGCCAGCAGCCGCGGUAAUACAAAGGGUGCAAGCGUUACUCGGAAUUACUGGGCGUAAAGCGUGCGUAGGUGGUCGAUUAAGUCUGUUGUGAAACCCCUGGGCUCAACCUGGGAACUGCAGUGGAAACUGGACGACUAGAGUGUGAUAGAGGGUAGCGUGAAUUCCUGGUGUAGCAGUGAAAUGCGUAGAGAUCAGGAUGGAACAUCCAUGGCCAAUGCACCUACCCUGGACCAACACUGACACUGAGGCACGAAAGCGUGGGGAUCAAACACGGAUGAGAUACCCUGCUAGUACACGCUCUAAACGAUGCUAGUGAAUGUUGUGUGCAAUUUCGACACUCACAUCGAAGCUAACCCGUUAAGUUCGCCCGCUGGGGAGUACGGUCUCAAAACUGAAACUCAAAGGAAUUGAAGGGGGCCCACACAUGCGGUGGAAUUUGAUGC
rnacentral:rRNA from 1 species